rnacentral:rRNA from 1 species
AACGAACGCUGGCGGCAUGCCUAACACAUGCAAGUCGAACGAGACCUUCGGGUCUAGUGGCGCACGGGUGCGUAACGCGUGGGAACCUGCCCUUAGGUUCGGAAUAACUCCCCGAAAGGGGUGCUAAUACCGGAUAAUGUCUUCGGACCAAAGAUUUAUCGCCUUUGGAUGGGCCCGCGUUGGAUUAGCUAGUUGGUAGGGUAAAAGCCUACCAAGGCGACGAUCCAUAGCUGGUCUGAGAGGAUGAUCAGCCACACUGGGACUGAGACACGGCCCAGACUCCUACGGGAGGUAGCAGUGGGGAAUAUUGGACAAUGGGCGAAAGCCUGAUCCAGCAAUGCCGCGUGAGUGAUGAAGGCCUUAGGGUUGUAAAGCUCUUUUACCCGGGAUGAUAAUGACGGUACCGGGAGAAUAAGCUCCGGCUAACUCCGUG